rnacentral:rRNA from 1 species
UACGUAGGGGGCGAGCGUUAUCCGGAUUCACUGGGCGUAAAGCGCAUGUAGGCGGUUGGACAAGUCGGGUGUUAAAGCCCCUGGCUCAACUGGGGGAGGGCAUGCGAGACUGGGCGGCUUGAGGGCAAGAGAGGCACGUGGAACUCCCGGUGUAGCGGUGAAAUGCGUAGAGAUCGGGAGGAACACCAGUGGCGAAGGCGACGUGCUGGGUUGCACCUGACGCUGAGGCGCGAAAGCUAGGGUAGCAAACGGG